rnacentral:rRNA from 1 species
UGGGGAAUCUUGGACAAUGGACGCAAGUCUGAUCCAGCCAUGCCGCGUGCGGGAAGAAGGCCUUCGGGUUGUAAACCGCUUUUGUUAGGGAAGAAACGCUCUGGGCUAAUACUCUGGGGUAAUGACGGUACCUGAAGAAUAAGCACCGGCUAACUACGUGCCAGCAGCCGCGGUAAUACGUAGGGUGCAAGCGUUAAUCGGAAUUACUGGGCGUAAAGCGUGCGCAGGCGGUUAUACAAGACAGAGGUGAAAUCCCCGGGCUCAACCUGGGAACUGCCUUUGAGACUACAUGGCUAGAGUACAGUAGAGGGGGCUGGAAUUCGGCAUGUAGCAGUGAAAUGCGUAGAUAUGCGAAGGAACACCGAUGGCGAAGGCAAUCCCCUGGACCUGUACUGACGCUCAUGCACGAAAGCGUGGGGAGCAAACA